AUGAACGCUGGCGGCGUGCCUAAUACAUGCAAGUCGAGCGAACAGACGAGGAGCUUGCUCCUUUGACGUUAGCGGCGGACGGGUGAGUAACACGUGGAUAACCUACCUAUAAGACUGGGAUAACUUCGGGAAACCGGAGCUAAUACCGGAUAACAUGUUGAACCGCAUGGUUCAACAGUGAAAGACGGUCUUGCUGUCACUUAUAGAUGGAUCCGCGCCGCAUUAGCUAGUUGGUAAGGUAACGGCUUACCAAGGCAACGAUGCGUAGCCGACCUGAGAGGGUGAUCGGCCACACUGGAACUGGGACACGGUCCAGACUCCUACGGGAGGCAGCAGUAGGGAAUCUUCCGCAAUGGGCGAAAGCCUGACGGAGCAACGCCGCGUGAGUGAAGAAGGUCUUCGGAUCGUAAAACUCUGUUAUUAGGGAAGAACAAAUGUGUAAGUAACUAUGCACGUCUUGACGGUACCUAAUCAGAAAGCCACGGCUAACUACGUG
rnacentral:rRNA from 1 species